GACGAACGCUGGCGGCGUGCUUAACACAUGCAAGUCGAACGGAAAGGCCCUGCUUUUGUGGGGUUCUCGAGUGGCGAACGGGUGAGUAACACGUGAGUAACCUGCCCUUGACUUUGGGAUAACUUCAGGAAACUGGGGCUAAUACCGGAUAGGAGCUCCUGCUGCAUGGUGGUGGUUGGAAAGUUUCGGCGGUAUGGGAUGGACUCGAGGGUUAUCAGCUUGUUGGUGGGGUAGUGGCUUACCAAGGCUUUGACGGGUAGCCGGCCUGAGAGGGUGACCGGCCACAUUGGGACUGAGAUACGGAGCAGACGGCUACGGGAGGCAGCAGUGGGGAAUAUUGCACAAUGGGCGGAAGCCUGAUGAAGAAGCGCCGCGUGCGGAAUGACGGCCUUCGGGUUGUAAACCGCUUUCGCCUGUAACGAAGCGUGAGUGACGGUAAUGGGUAAAGAAGCAACGGCUAACUACGUG
rnacentral:rRNA from 1 species